rnacentral:rRNA from 1 species
CGAAUUAAGUAUUCCACCUGGGAGUACGCCGGCAACGGUGAAACUCAAAGGAAUUGACGGGGCCGCACAAGCGAGGAACAUGUGGUUUAAUUCGAUGAUACGCGAGGAACCUUACCCGGGCUUGAAUUGCAGGUGCAUGGACCAGAGAUGGUCCUUUCCUUCGGGACUCCUGUGAAGGUGCUGCAUGGUUGUCGUCAGCUCGUGCCGUGAGGUGUCGGCUUAAGUGCCAUAACGAGCGCAACCCUUUUCCAGAGUUACCAUCAGGUUAUGCUGGGGACUCUCUGGAUACUGCCAUCGUAAGAUGUGAGGAAGGUGGGGAUGACGUCAAAUCAGCACGGCCCUUACGUCCGGGGCUACACACGUGUUACAAUGGGGGGUACAGAGGGAAGCUACCGGGCGACCGGAUGCGGAUCCCGAAAACCUCUCUCAGUUCGGACUGGAGUCUGCAACCCGACUCCACGAAGCUGGAUUCGCUAGUAAUCGCGCAUCAGCCAUGGCGCGGUGAAUACGUUCCCGGGCCUUGUACAGUCGACGCGGCCG